rnacentral:rRNA from 1 species
AUACGGAGGAUCCGAGCGUUAUCCGGAUUUAUUGGGUUUAAAGGGUGCGUAGGCGGCCUUUUAAGUCAGCGGUGAAAGUCUGUGGCUCAACCAUAGAAUUGCCGUUGAAACUGGGGGGCUUGAGUAUGUUUGAGGCAGGCGGAAUGCGUGGUGUAGCGGUGAAAUGCAUAGAUAUCACGCAGAACCCCGAUUGCGAAGGCCGCCUGCCAAGCCAUGACUGACGCUGAUGCACGAAAGCGUGGGGAUCAAACAGGAUUAGAUACCCUGGUAGUCCACGCAGUAAACGAUGAUCACUAGCUGUUUGCGAUACACUGUAAGCGGCACAGCGAAAGCGUUAAGUGAUCCACCUGGGGAGUACGCCGGCAACGGUGAAACUCAAAUGAAUUGACGGGG